UCAGAGCAUACAUACAGGUGAAAAGCCAUA
rnacentral:piRNA from 1 species